AUUGAACGCUGGCGGCAUGCCUUACACAUGCAAGUCGAACGGUAACGGGCCUUCGGGUGCCGACGAGUGGCGAACGGGUGAGUAAUACAUCGGAACGUGCCCGAUCGUGGGGGAUAACGAGGCGAAAGCUUUGCUAAUACCGCAUACGAUCUACGGAUGAAAGCAGGGGACCGCAAGGCCUUGCGCGGACGGAGCGGCCGAUGGCAGAUUAGGUAGUUGGUGGGAUAAAAGCUUACCAAGCCGACGAUCUGUAGCUGGUCUGAGAUGAUGAUCAGCCACACUGGGACUGAGACACGGCCCAGACUCCUACGGGAGGCAGCAGUGGGGAAUUUUGGACGAUGGGCGCAAGCCUGAUCCAGCCAUGCCGCGUGCAGGAUGAAGGCCUUCGGGUUGUAAACUGCUUUUGUACGGAACGAAAAGCCUUCUUUUAAUACAGGAGGGUCAUGACGGUACCGUAAGAAUAAGCACCGGCUAACUACGUG
rnacentral:rRNA from 1 species